CGGGGCGGCGCGGGGCCUGCCGGGAAAUACAGCGAAGCGGCGGCAUUCGAGGCGGGCAGCCGGUGCGACUACAUCUCCCGGCGUGCCUCGCGCCAGGGGGCGCUAGUAUGUCUCCCGGCGUGCCUCGCGCCACGUUAUAGGUGGAGCACAGGAAGGGGUGCCAGGCAUCUGGUUUUCAACUGGAACACCUGGUCGAAAAGGGACGUUGGCAGUGCUGUUAAGUCAGUGGGGCUAAGGCAGGCUUCUUGCUGCGUGCUGUCCCUGCCCUGAGCGCUGGCUCUGCAGCUCCCAGUUGCCGGGAAUCCUGGCCAAUGGGAGCUGCAGGGGUGGUGUGAGCAGUGUGCACAGCCACCUGCCUGUGCCUUGGGGCCAGACAUGCUGGCCACUUCCUUGAGCAGCAUGGAGCUAGGGCAGACAGGCAGCCUGCCUUAGUCUCGCUGCACCACUGAUUGGGAGCCACCUGAGGUAUCCAUCCAUUCCUCAGCUGACUGCCAAAAACACUUUCCAGCUUCAGUUCUGCUUGCAAGCCAUCCCCAACCAAGAUUCUAAAGUUUUCAGCAGCCGUCUCACCUGAAGUGAAGAGAAGAGGAAGUUGCUGGUGAUGGUACAGACCCUGUACAGAAUAAAAUUCUUUCAGUGGCAGCACCUUUCCAGUUUUGUUCCUCUAACCUUCAAAGGGAGAAGGGUGUGGGAUGAGGAGGUUGGGGGGAGGACAUAAAGGAGACAAUCCAGCUUCAGUUUUGCAAUCUCCUCUUGCAUGGGAGGAAGCUCUCCUCUUCCUUUCCAUGGGCAGCCUUAAAUUUUUUUGAUGGCUUCCCUGUUGAUGAGGCACAGCUGAUGCCUGCACCCUUCCACUGCCUAUCAGUCCCUCUCUCCAGCUCUGACUGCUUGGCCACUCCCAAUGAAGGGCUUUGUCAUGGCUCUGCCAAGGAAAAGUCACAAACAACCCACAUGUACCUCCCACUCAUAGGAUGGCUGGGGGCACUUCCCCCUCCCAACCCUUGGAAGAAGAAAUCAGCAUUAAGGUGAUCCUUCCUCCAGCUCUAUUAGACAUGGAAGGAGAAGAGCUGGGGGCCCAGGUGCCACCUAGUCACUCCGGUUUUUGCAUCCUCCUUUGCUAAGAGAGGAGCAUGGUCUCUAUGCAGCGAUAACAAUGUAGAGUUCCCCUGGCCAGACAUCCUUAAUCAAUGACAGACUGGUUGUCUCAGAGGACGAGCUUACGGUUCUGGGGCAGCAUGACAUCCCCAGCCCCACCUUGGUGGCAUCGUCUGGCUGUACUGUACGCCAACCAGGCCAUGCAGAACUGGUCAGCUACACAUCCCAGCUUGCAAGCUGGCAUGUGCACCAGCAAACUUUACCAAUACACUGCUCAAACACAAGUCAACAUCCCCUCCCAUGAAGCUCUGGCUGGUCGUCUGUGAGCUAGGGGCUGAUUGGCCUCUCUUCUCUUACUCACCUCUUUCUUCAGAUUGUGGAGACCAAGCAGCCUGUUCUUAUCACAAUGCAAACACACAGAGAGGUCCCCAGUUAAAUAACCUGCUGAUCAAUGGACAAAGGUGGGAUUGGCAGUGAAGGAAUUAGAGGAACAGGAGCAAAGCCUCAGCCAGAAAUACUGAGAAACUAUGAUUGUUCCUUGAGAAGAAUGGUUCGGUAGUUCCAUAUGUACAGUCUACUUUUGUCACUGCUGUUUAUUAUCUUCACUGGAAGUUUCUUAGGUCAAGAACAGUGGGUUGUCCAAGGUCCUGAUUCCCCCCUGCCUUUCACCUGCAAUAUGUCACUUAACUGAUUCCAAAUCAGAAUGCUAGUUACACCCAUUUUGCACAGCUGUAAGAGUCUAUCUCACGCGCAAGGCAGGAGAGAAGCAGACCCCCUUGUGUAUGGAAGAUCAAACAUUAAAAUUCCGAACACUGGCUAACCCUGGAUUAAAGCAAAGACACGUCCCAGGUACACAUUUGCUUCAACCAUUUUCCAAAACCAGCUUGUUCAGGGGAACGAAGAACAAAAAUAAAGAUUUCACAUUUGGCAGGAAGGGAUAGGUUCCAUGCCUUAGUUCCUAAGUGUCAAAGGGCAGCCGGCACAGGGCAUGGCUCUACAGAAGGUAGCAGAGCGGAAAUGCCACAGAUAUACUGUGACGUUGCACUCCAUAUGAUUUUAUAAAAAUAUGCUAAUAAGUGUGAAUAUAACGUAACUGGAAUAUGCUUCAUGCAAAAGGUCUCUUGUAAGGUAUCAUUACAAAGCUUAUAAUCUACUGAGCACGGUCAUCCAAUUUGUACGAAUGUAUCAUUCUUGUAUCUGAAACUAGGAAUACAAAAUAUAACUCUGAGGUCCUAUUAUAGUUACGCAAAUUGUGGGCCAUUAAUGGCGGUUUAGAAUCUUGAUGGCUCCCAUCAACUAGGACAAUUGACUGUAGAUGGCUCUGUUUACUUGCAAGCCUUCCUCUGAUGAGAUGUGAGUGAAGGCUUGGGGUCUCACAGGACAUGUGACCAUGUCACCUGGUACUGAAGUCCAUCUUAAACCUGGUGCUUUUCCAUUUAGAAGGGGUGGGGACUCAAAGAGACAAAAGAUUCCCGCCUUGUGCCAAAGGUAUAUAAGGGGAUGGAGCAGAACAAAGGGGGCUGCAGGCAUGAGAAAUCCCCUAGCUACCAUCUGAGCUGGAACAAGGACUGUACCAGGGGAAAGGAUGAGGCCCAGACUAGAAAGGAGUCUAGCCUGUGAAAGAAGCUUAUUGGAACAUCUCUGAGGGUGAGAUUUCAUCUGUGAUCAGUUUCUUACUGUAUUAGUCUUAGACUUGUGUGUUUUUGUUUUAUUUUGCUUGGUAAUUUACUUUGUUCUGUCUGUUAUUACUUGGAAACA